AUUGAACGCUGGCGGCAUGCCUUACACAUGCAAGUCGAACGGCAGCACGGGAGCAAUCCUGGUGGCGAGUGGCGAACGGGUGAGUAAUAUAUCGGAACGUGCCCAGUCGUGGGGAUAACGUAGCGAAAGCUGCGCUAAUACCGCAUACGAUCUAUGGAUGAAAGCGGGGGAUCGCAAGACCUCGCGCGAUUGAAGCGGCCGAUAUCAGAUUAGGUAGUUGGUGAGGUAAAGGCUCACCAAGCCGACGAUCUGUAGCUGGUCUGAGAGGACGACCAGCCACACUGGGACUGAGACACGGCCCAGACUCCUACGGGAGGCAGCAGUGGGGAAUUUUGGACAAUGGCGCAAGCCUGAUCCAGCAAUGCCGCGUGCCAGGAUGAAGGCUCGGUUGUAACU
rnacentral:rRNA from 1 species